CAAAAUGGUCUAUAGGACACAAAGUACAGCAUAUUAUGGAAAUAUUACAGGAAAAAUAUACAAACUUACAAAUACAAAAACAGUUAAAACAGAACAAUAAGAGUUUCUGUAAAUCAACAGUAUAUACAACCCAAAGUUAUAACAAAAAUGAAUGCAAAAGAAAGAAAUACAAAAGAUAUAAACCCCAAUAUAAUAAGGAAUACAAUAGAAAAAAUUAUUAUCUUAGAAAGUCUUCAGCUAGAAAGCCCUAUUUAAAUAGAAAUAAGCAUGUUAGAAAAUAUAGAACAGAUAGAAACUAUAAAAACAAACUAGAAUGUUUUACUUGUGGUAGUGUAGAACAUCUAUAGAACAGAUAGAAAUUAUAAAAACAAAUUAGAAUGUUUUACUUGUGGUAGUGUAGAACAUUUAGCCAACACUUGUCCAAAAAGAAUCAAUAGCAAAACAAGAAAUUCACAAUUAAUAGAAGAUUUUCAAGAAACCCUAAUAAAUAUAGAUGAAUACAUGUCUGGCAACGAAAGUAUAUAUUCUAUAGUAAGUGUAGGAGUAGACGAAACUCAAAUAGAAACCUCAGCAUCAGAAGAAGAGGAAUUAAUAAAUGAAAUAGGAUUAGAAAAAUUAGACAUAGAAGAAAAUAA
rnacentral:lncRNA from 1 species